CCGCAGCGGCGUCCGCGGCCCGCAGGGCUUCGCCAAGGCUUGGAGAGGACGUCUCCAACUGUGCGCUGUGCCCUUCCACCUCCCCAACGUCCACAAGUCCAAAGGGCAAGGGUGAGGGUGGGGUGGCAGCCCAGCCACUGUCCUGCCUGUGAACCAGUGUCUUUGCCCCUCAUCUACAGAAAUCGACCUGCAACAAGAAUCUGGAGCUAUAUUGUACAUUUUCCUAGUCCUGGUAACAUGGAGGACAACAGCAAGAGUUUGAGGACAUCUACAUUGUAAAAUGGACAUAAGGACAUCACCAAUAAGCUGGACUCCAGAAAGCUCUGUCUAGGAUUUUAUUAGACUGCUUCCCCCCACCCCAAUAUACCUGUUUUGGAAGAUUGAGACAAAAAGGCACAAACUCACAUUAAAUAAACAAGGUAAUCUAAUCAGUUCUACAAAGUGUAUUUUGUAAAAGAAGUAGCACUAGGAACCAAACAAAAUAAGUCAGGGAGUCCCAGCAGGGACUGUAAGAGAACUUGAGGAGAUAUACACAUGCCCACAAUACUGACCCUGUCCCUGACCUCUCUCUGUGAGAAGGCCAGAGUCCAGCACCACCCCCUUAUGGAGGCCCUGCUGCUUUAAACCUGGA